GACGAACGCUGGCGGCGUGCUUAACACAUGCAAGUCGAGCGGUAAGGCCCUUUCGGGGGUACACGAGCGGCGAACGGGUGAGUAACACGUGGGUGACCUGCCCUUAGCUCUGGGAUAAGCCUGGGAAACUGGGUCUAAUACCGGAUAUGACUCCAUGACGCAUGUUGUGGGGUGGAAAGCCUUGUGCGGCUAGGGAUGGGCCUGCGGCCUAUCAGCUUGUUGGUGGGGUGAUGGCCUACCAAGGCGACGACGGGUAGCCGGCCUGAGAGGGCGACCGGCCACACUGGGACUGAGACACGGCCCAGACUCCUACGGGAGGCAGCAGGUGGGGAAUCUUGCGCAAGUGGGACGAAAGCCUGACGCAGCGACGCCGCGGUGGGGAGU
rnacentral:rRNA from 1 species